UACGGAGGGUGCGAGCGUUGUCCGGAAUUACUGGGCGUAAAGGGCUCGUAGGCGGCCAACUAAGUCGGAUGUGAAAUCCCCAGGCUUAACCUGGGAACUGCAUCCGAUACUGGAUGGCUUGAAUCCGGGAGAGGGAUGCAGAAUUCCAGGUGUAGCGGUGAAAUGCGUAGAUAUCUGGAGGAAUACCGGUGGCGAAGGCGGCAUCCUGGACCGGCAUUGACGCUGAGGAGCGAAAGCUAGGGGAGCAAACGGG
rnacentral:rRNA from 1 species